UUUUUUUUUUUUUUUUUUUCCUCCGCCACAAAAUGGAAAAAUUGCGCAAUAGUACCCAGAGGUCAUUGGGCCCUCAACACCGUGACAACUAACUGUGAUCCAAUGAGGUGUUCACAUGCUGAUCACGCGUGUUAUCUUGAUAAUGAUUGACGUUGUCAUGCACAGACAGGGCCGGGUCACAUGACGAAUCACGAGAUUUUGCUUAUAAAACUCUUUGGUCGGUUGUUUUGUGUUUCAACGUAUUUGGAUUGCGAUCUCCUGGAGCAUUAUGGCGCAAAUGCGCAAAAUACUUACAGACGCAUAUAGAAGUCGUAUUAAUCGCGGCUAAUCCACACUGAGAGAUGUUAUUGAGCGGUAAUUUUGGAACGGAUUGAGUCGCGAACUCUUGAAAGCCAUGAAAGCCUUGAAUGCCUUGUAUGCUUAGUAUGCCAAUGUCUUAGUUGAAAAACGUUCACUUGUUGUAAAAAGCAAAAUCUGAAAUCUGAAACCAAACUGCUUAUACUCCAUGCAAUCUAUUGAACAACACUACUACCGUGAGACUGAAGAACAUAACUAUAAUGGAUACAAACUGCUCGUGAAGAAAGACAUGUUGGAUUCACUUGAUGGCAAGGAACGUAGCUACGAUAACAGUACGAAUGGUAUUAAUUUCACGAUCAGAAAGGUGAAUCUUAUGUUUGUUUUCAUUGUAGUUGUAUGGAUAUUCUUUUUUUAAUAAAUACGUGAUCCAAAACCCUG